rnacentral:rRNA from 1 species
UGGUGGAGCGAUUUGUCUGGUUUAUUCCGAUAACGAACGAGACUCCAGCCUGCUAACUAGUGCGCGUAUCUCUCGGUGCGCGUUACUUCUUAGAGGGACAAGCGGUGUUCAGCCGCAUGAAAGGAGCAAUAACA